GCAUUCAUAAUAUUCUUUAAAAGAGUCAUCGGUUUCCAAGUGUUCGGUCAUAGACUAGCGUUCGGUUUUUCAAGUACUCGGUCUUAGACUAGCACUCACCCUUUAAAAUACUAGGUUAUAUAUUAAUACUAUUCUUUGGAAGAGUGUUCGGUCUUACAAUGACACUUGAUUUCCCAAAGAGUGUUCGGUUUUGUACUGGCACUCGUUUCCCUGAAGAGAAUUUCUUUUAUGUUAAAUCAUUUGGCCAAGGUUGUAAAGUUCUCGGUUUAAACUCUAAAGUGCUCGGUCUAAGUCCCCCUACUCAGUCUAAGAUAUUAUUAUAAAAUGUUGAAUCUGAUUCUGAAAUUAUGUUUCUAUGUGUUCGGUUUAAACAGUAUUCGGUCUUCCAAAGGAAUUACCCAUUUGCUUGACCGUUCGGUCAGUCCCUUAAAUUAUUCAUUCUCUUAUAGGAGUUGUUACUACAUGUGAUGAUGUGCUUUUUGGUUAUAUAUUUUGUAAGAGAAUUCCAAGGAGGAAUGUCUCAUGAUUAGUGAUGAUUUGGUAAAGUAUGAACAUGGUCAGUCUCUGCUGUCGUUUUGUUCCUGGUAUUCCGUUAGGACGCCUUCUCAUGUAGAGAAGGUAAUUCAUGUCUAGGAAUGGCAGAAGGUCCGCGAUCAUAAGACCAGAUGGUCGUUUUAGGACUAACCUCGGGUGGCAGCUGAUGUAUGAAUGCCAGUUACUACACUACACCGGGUGCUAGAAACGUAGAGCUACAUUGUUCAUACCGUCCGGACAGAGUCUAAAGUGGUCGGUCUUUAUAGUCUAAAACAUUCGGUUUUUCUUUGCUUUCUAUACUUAUAUGAUUAUUGUAUGAAUGAAAUGUUGUUUGAUCAUAUCAUGGUGACGGUUGAAUGUAUGUGAGUUUAGAAUAAUUAAACUACAUAAGCUUACCCUUAUUCUUCCGUCAUGUCUUUGUUGUCGUUCGAUAUUUGUCGUUUGGUCCUUUCUCUUCACUACAAUGAUCAUCCAUUGGAUGUGAGCAGAAGGUGUUAUUGAAGAAUCAUUGGAGGAAGCCCUGCAGUUGGAGCAACCUGAGGACAGUGUUGGACCGUCCGGUCCUUAGUUAGGUUUUAAUUACUGCUUUGUGUAUAUAACCGUUCGGUUAUAUUAUAUUUUGUAAAACCGUUCGGUAUGCCGUUUGUUUUAGGCCGUUCUGUAUGCCGUUUGUUUUAGGCCGUUCGGUAGUAUAUGAACCUUAGACCGUUCGGUCUCUCAUUGUACAUUUUAUCUCUUGUACAACUUCAAAUUCCA
rnacentral:lncRNA from 1 species